rnacentral:sRNA from 1 species
CUUGGUCAUUUAGAGGAAGUAAAAGUCGUAACAAGGUCUCCGUUGGUGAACCAGCGGAGGGAUCAUUACCGAGUACUAUAACUCAUAACCCUUUGUGAACCUUUAUACCUGUUGCUUCGGCGGCGCGCCUCCCGGGGCGUGCCCGCCGGCAUUAUCAGAAUCUCUGUUCGAACCCGACGAUACAUCUGAGUGUUCUAAGCGAACUGUUAAAACUUUCAACAACGGAUCUCUUGGCUCCAGCAUCGAUGAAGAACGCAGCGAAACGCGAUAUGUAAUGUGAAUUGCAGAAUUCAGUGAAUCAUCGAAUCUUUGAACGCACAUGGCGCCUUCCAGUAUCCUGGGAGGCAUGCCUGUCCGAGCGUCGUUUCAACCCUCGAGCCCCCGUGGCCCGGCGUUGGGGAUCUGCCCAGGCAGUCCCCGAAAACCAGUGGCGGACCCGUUGGGCCCUUCCUUUGCGUAGUAACAUCUGCCUCGCAUCGGGAGCCUGCGGGCUAUCCGGCCUCUAAACCCCCCUCAAGCCCGCUCCGGCGGCACCAAGGUUGACCUCGGAUCAGGUAGGAAUACCCGCUGAACUUAAGCAUAUCAAUAAGCGGAGGAAAAGAAACCAACAGGGAUUGCCUCAGUAACGGUGAGUGAAGCGGCAACAGCUCAAAUUUGAAAUCUGGCUCCUUCGGGGCCCGAGUUGUAAUUUGCAGAGGAUGCUUCGGGUACGGGUUCCUUCCGAGUUCCCUGGAACGGGACGCCAUAGAGGGUGAGAGCCCCGUCUGGUAGGACACCCAGCCCGUGUGAAGCUCCCUCGACGAGUCGAGUUGUUUGGGAAU